UCUAGUACAGUGGCGAACGGGUGAGUAACACGUGGGUAAUCUACCCUCAAGUGGGGGAUAACCCGGGGAAACCUGGGCUAAUACCGCAUAAUAUCCGCAAGGAUCAAAGGAGCAAUUCGCUCGAGGAUGAGCCCGCGGCCGAUUAGCUAGUUGGCGGGGUAACGGCCCACCAAGGCUCUGAUCGGUAGCCGGUCUGAGAGGACGCACGGCCACACUGGAACUGAAACACGGUCCAG
rnacentral:rRNA from 1 species